GCAAACUAUUAGUCCUAGAGAAAAAGUGACUAGAACCUUUUUUGGCAGGGAAGUGAAUGCAGGUUAAUUUUGUAUUGGGGAAGAAUUUCCCCAGGAUCCGUUGUUUUUGAGUCAUUCAAGAACAAAAAUAAAAAAUUACCUUUAAACCUACCCCCACACCAAUGCUCACACUCCACAGGUCAGGGUUUUUAGUACAAUGUUUGUGACAAUAUAUCCUAGAACUGUGUAAAACUUUGUGACUACGUGACUUUUCCCCUAAUUUUCCUUCAUUGACUGGACUAAAUGUUAGUGUUUGGAACUGACACAGAUAGUGAAGGGCUUCAUCAUCAAAGGCAUUUAGCGACAGCUGUAAACAGAAUGGCAGAAGAACCUUUUGAGAGGACGGAAAAGAAACCCGAGCCUGUCAGCAUUACCUCCCCUGAAAUGUAAGAAACUGGUGGAUUCCAAGACAAAAUUGUGGAAAAUGGAGACAUCUUCAAAUAACAGAAAGAAAUAAAGGCUGAAGAGGCAGGAUCACAGAUGUCAGAUGAAAGUUACCGCAAAAAAGGUUAAGUUGGAAAAGAGUGAAAAUGAAAAUGGAUGCUUGUGCAGUGACUGAAGUUGAAGUCAUAAAUUGAGGAUGAUGAAGCUACACGAAAAAGCUCUCAGCUCUACAGUCCGAGUCUGACCGACUUGUCCGACGAGCCACUGUCGGCGGCACUGCGAUCGCAGGCCCCUCACGGUGUGCGCUUACUCAGGCAAGUGUCGCGGGGAUUUGUUAAUGUAGAGGCUGACUGUACGCUGUAGGUGUCUGCAGACUUCCAUCAUUAGAGGAACAGUUCUAUGAACAGUACAUG